rnacentral:lncRNA from 1 species
ACCAACACACAGUACCAGCAAAGGCCAUAAUUACAAUGAAGUAAUUCCAGUACUCCAAAAUUUUCACCCAAAGUCUAAUGAGAUUUGACCCAUCUGAAGAGAAAAAAAAACUUGGGGAGAUUGAAAUUAGGAAUGGAUCAUCCGUCAUAUAAAUCUUUGUAAAGUUAUAAUAUAAUAAUAUAUUCCUUAGAGUAGUUAAAGUAUACAAUCAAAUGUAAACUAAUAUUUUGAGUACACAGCCUUCAACUCAGCAACUUAAAAUCCAUAAGGAAAAUAUAAAAUUUUAAAAGACAAUAAAAGCAUACCUACAGAAACAUAUAUCUAUCCAUACAUGCGUGUAAAACUUUAAAAACGUACCGCUAACGAAGAGCUUAGACGUAGUGAGGGUAGAAUUGAAACGGAGCGAAGUGAAGUGAGAUGGCGUAAUUGGAGUGGAAGAAACAUUGAGAAUGCGACGAAAUGCUGAGGCAAAAGCCAUUGAAAUCAAACUUUGGUUGAGAUAAUUGCCAAAAAAAUGGAGGGAUUUGGGGUUUAGAGGUUUAGGGGAUUAUAUGUUUUGGGGGUUUGAAGAGCAGAUGUAAAAGUAAAACCCUAG